CGAGCCGUAUUAACUAUCCCAAAACAACAACAAAAAAACCUCGAAUCAUCCCAUCAGAAUACCCAUUCAAAAUUUUUCCCCUCCCCCGCCAACGUUUUCCCUCCUCCGCUCGCCUUCACCACAGCGUUCAAUCGCCGGCGAGUACUCAAAGAUCUGUACCUGCGUUCCCGAUCUGUGACUUGAUAGUGAGUUGGAGGAAAGUACUGGAUCCCCAAUCUGCAUCCACGGUUUCAAGAGAGAAUGCAGUUCAAAAAAUGGAGGAUGAUUUAUUGUUGCAAGUAUGAAGUUCAAAAAAUUAAAGAUAAACUAAUUGAGAUAAAGAAUGCUCUUCACAAGCAUGGUUAAGGGUUGUCUCUUAAUUUUCAAUCGUUCAUCAAUGUACAAUGUUUAUGCACCAUACCUUUCCCUAUGUUGUGUUCUACAUGAAAAAGAUACAGAGAAAGAAGGGCAAGGGAGCUGGAGCUGCCUAAAGUUUUGUUACCUGAACUUCGUCCGUCAUAUCAGAAUCUGUUGUGUUCAUCAUGUUUCCUCAAACAUAGGCAUUGAACUUUAGCUUAGAUGAAACAUUUUGCGAGAAGCUAUUUCUUGUGUUACAUUUGACUUCCUAGUUGGAAUAUUAUGGGUGCCUUCUACUGUCAUUCAUGAACUGAAUGUCAUUGUUAGCAUUAAGUUAAUUAUUUACUACCAACUUCA